AUUGAACGCUGGCGGCAGGCCUAACACAUGCAAGUCGAACGAGUGGCGGACGGGUGAGUAAUGUCUGGGAAACUGCCCGAUGGAGGGGGAUAACUACUGGAAACGGUAGCUAAUACCGCAUACCAUCGGAUGUACCCAGAUGGGAUUAGCUAGUAGGUGGGGUAACGGCUCACCUACGCGACGAUCCCUAGCUGGGCUGAGAGGAUGACCAGCCCCACUGGAACUGAGCCACGGGCCAGAGUCCUACGGGAGGCAGCAGUGGGGAAUAUUGCGCAAUGGGCGGAAGCCUUAUGCAGCCAUGCCGCGUGUAUGAAGAAGGCCUGCGGGUUGUAAAGUCCUUUCAGCGAUGAGGCGUUACUCGCAGAAGAAGCACCGGCUAACUCCGUGCCAGCAGCCGCGGUAAUUC
rnacentral:rRNA from 1 species